CUCUUAGCCAGGUGGCAGAUUCUUUCGCUGUGCCCAAUUAGCUGCUGCCGCGCCUUGGAGUCCGGAGUAACUUGGCCAGGCUGGCCCCGAGCGGAACUGGAGAAAGCUGAGGGGGUUGGGCAUGUUCCAGGAUCUGUCUAUCGACUUCUCUCAGGAGGAAUGGGAGGGCCUGGACACUGCUCAGAAGGACUUAUAGAGAGAUGUAAUGAUGGAGAACUAUAGCAGCCUGGUCUCACUAGGUCUCUCUAUCCCAAAGCCUGAUGUGAUUUCCUUACUGGAGCAAGGGAAAGAGUCCUGCAUGGUUUCAAGGGACGUACCAGGAGGAUGGUGCCCAGAUUUGUAUCAGGCACUGGAGAACCUCCCACCUGGUCCAUGCCCGGCUCCCGGUGAGCACCGAGACCCAACCUUGUGCACAGCCAGUCUUGUCAUCAACAAACAGGGUAGUAAAUUAUAAAAAAUAAAAUAAAGGAAAUGUAGCUGGGCGUGGUGGCAUGCGCCUGUAAUCCCAGCUACUCCGGAGGCUGAUGCAGG
rnacentral:lncRNA from 1 species